rnacentral:miRNA from 1 species
UAUGACACUGACGCUUAAUAUGG